UACGUAGGGGGCAAGCGUUGUCCGGAUUCAUUGGGCGUAAAGAGCGUGUAGGCGGCCAGAUAGGUCAGCUGUGAAAACUCGAGGCUCAACCUCGAGACGUCGGUUGAAACCACUUGGCUAGAGUCCGGAAGAGGAGAGCGGAAUUCCCGGUGUAGCGGUGAAAUGCGCAGAUAUCGGGAAGAACACCCGUGGCGAAGGCGGCUCUCUGGGACGGUACUGACGCUGAGACGCGAAAGCGUGGGGAG
rnacentral:rRNA from 1 species